UACGGAGGAUGCAAGCGUUAUCCGGAUUUAUUGGGUUUAAAGGGUGCGCAGGUUGUUUGAUAAGUCAGUGGUGAAAGUCUGUCGCUUAACGGUAGGAUUGCCAUUGAUACUGUUGGACUUGAAUAUGGAUGAGGUAGGCGGAAUGUGUAGUGUAGCGGUGAAAUGCAUAGAUAUUACACAGAACACCGAUUGCGAAGGCAGCUUACUAAUCCAUCAUUGACGCUGAGGCACGAAAGCGUGGGGAUCAAACAGGAUUAGAUACC
rnacentral:rRNA from 1 species